UGCCCCAUGGCUGAGUUGGUUACAGCGUCCGACUGUUAUACUGAUUCACUGUGGAUACUUCAAUCGGAAGGUCGUGAGUUCGAGCCUCACUGGGGCAG